rnacentral:rRNA from 1 species
UACGAAGGGGCGAGGCGUUGUUCGGAUUUACUGGGCGUAAAGGGCGCGUAGGCGGGUCUUAAGUCAGGGGUGAAAUCCUGGAGCUCAACUCCAGAACUGCCUUUGAUACUGAGGAUCUUGAGUUCGGGAGAGGUGAGUGGAACUGCGAGUGUAGAGGUGAAAUUCGUAGAUAUUCGCAAGAACACCAGUGGCGAAGGCGGCUCACUGGCCCGAUACUGACGCUGAGGCACGAAAGCGUGGGGAGCAAACAGG